CACAGGCAUUUUUGGGAGGAGAAGGGAAUGGCAAAGCCGGGGUGAAGAACCAGCUGUAGGAAAAACUGCACUGGGGAGACACUCCCUGUCUGCUCUAGGGGAAUCAUACUGCAAAAUCCAUACAGCGUAACAAACCUCACCUUUUCUAACUAGAAAAGGAUGCAAAAAAUAAAGGUGAUUUUUUGUUUGAUUUGGCAUUGAGCCCCUGCAAAGUUUGGAAAGAGUACUGGAUAGAGUUCUGCUAGCGAACAUUUUCCCAGUACUGAAACUGUGGAUGUAAAGCUUCAUAUAAACAAAUUUCUAGGUUUGAAAACCUGAUCAAAAGCUGGCUCGUUCCUCUAGUUAGGAAACAGAAACAACAUCAUGUGAUGAAAACAGCCGAGCACCACAAACAGACAACUUAAGCAGCAAACAUCAGACAUUUUGAGAGAAAAUACUUACAAAGAAAUGCACGAGUAGUUGCCCACGACUGUGUCUCCAAAGCACCGAUGCCUUUUGGGAGCAAUUAGGGCACGUCAGAAGGCUGAGAACACUCCAGGAGAAAUUCCAGCUCCAUUCCUACAGCAGUUUAUGUUCAUAUGGAGAAAGCCCCCCCAGCUGCAAUACCCAUGCACCAAACAGGCCCACUCCAGCACAUGGCAGACACGCCAAGGCAGGAGGAUCUGCACGCCUCCAGGCCAGCAAUAAGAUGGUGCUCUGCCACUGCCUUGGACAGGGAGGGAUAUGAGCACUCUCCCUGGAUGAAACAUGAGCCCAAGAAGGAAGCUUUCCACUGAAAAUAAAAGAGCUGGAGAGAGGGAUCCAGGAUUUUUUAUCUCUGUUGUCCAGUUUUGUAUGUGGAAAAUUAAGAAACAAAGACAUCUGGUAAACUGUGAGACAAUAUAAGUAGGCUUGGGUAAUAACCACAAAUCAUGCAUUCAGCAGUAAUCCUGGCCCUCUGCACUCACUCACUAACAUUGAACUGUUCUCUUUGUGGGUUGCUGUUUGGACACUAGUCAAAGGCAAUUUUUUUACAAAGACAUAGACAUUGAGAAGGUUUUCACUGAUUUUUUUUUUCUGAGGAGAAAAGUUUGAAAACAUAGAAACUUCUGCAGACCUUAAAUAGGUUUUUUGCUAUUCACUAUUUUGCUAUUUACUCCCAAAAUAGCCAAAGUGAGCAGCUCUUCAGCUCUGCUGUGUCCCACAGGGAGCUUGGCAGACAGGAAAGGACAAGCCACCCUUGGUGCUCACAGAGACUCCACCACGUGCAAGCAUCUUCCUUUUGUACUAUUUAAGCCCUCUGCUCUGCCACCCUGUGUGGCUUCCCAGGGAUAUUUUCUCCCAUGUGUCACCGAGCUGCAAUGAGCCAGUGCCCAGAGGAAGCCAAGUGCACAUCCCACACACCUCUGCAGCCCAAGUCAGGCAAAGGCUGUCACUACCCAUGCUGAGAUAGUCCUGCAGGAAAGAGUGAGGCUCAACAGAAAGGUGAGGAAAGAGAUCAAAGAGAGGUGCAAAGGGUGAAGAAAGGACUUGUUUUCUUUCCCAUUCCCCAUUUUCUCAUUUGCAGAGAACUCAAGUCAAUAAACAGUAGUAGUACUGAAAGCUGUGGCAACAUCUGACAUUGCAGGGAGGAUGAGGUGGCAACAAAGGCAUACUGGCCUCAGCCCCAGCAUGGCCUCUCCCAGCACUUCCAUCCCCACCUGCACCCUGUGCACAAAUAUGCCCCUAUUUUGGGUCUUCCUGCUACUGUGUUCAUUUGCCAGCCAGAUGCAGCUGCAUCAACCCUUCCUGGGCUUCAGGAUGGGCUUUUCCAUCUUUUUUAUCCACCUAUUUUGUCUCAGGAGCCAUUAGUGCCAAGAAGGUAAGAACAUAAUUAUCAGGAUCCUCAUUCAUCACACCUAACUUCACAUCUGCCUUGGAGGACCUUCUUUGAAUCCCUUCUGCUAGAGAUACCACAGAAGAAGAUGCAUCACAAGAGAGCUGAGACUUAAAGUUAUGGAGAUGCAAAGGAAGAAUGAGAUAGGGCAAAAGAUGUGGCACUAAUGCAUGAAAACAUUAGUGGCUAAAUUAGGUGAAGGCCCAUAUGAGUGGGCACGCAGCAGAACUGCAGGAUUUGUUCCCUUUCUCAUUUUGGGCUGUUUAGGGACCCAGCUGGUCACUAUUUGUGCUGGCUACUCAUGUUUCCAAGGGCUAACCUGGGUACUCAGAGUCAUCAGGACACAAAGAUGUGGCUAUCGGUUGCUUGACGAAGGAGAGGAUGCUUACACAGAGAUUACAUUCCCAAAGGAUCCCUUGCAAAGAGGAGUCCUCCUCUGAGUGAGCUCACUGGCAUGAGAGGUGUUUUUGCAGGCAGAAAUAAGCAAUGCACCUGCAAAGGCACUGAGUGGGGAGAAGGAUAAGAGCUGUCCUCCAAUGUAAAACUGAUGAAGAAGCACUGCAGGUGCUGUCCCAGGUGAAUUGGGACAAAAUGUAAUGUGAUCACUUCCUGUUAUGUACAAUGAGGGGGAAUAAAAAGGAGAAAUAUGUCACUGAGAUGGAAACCAGGCAAAGGAAGCAGCUGAAGUUUGUCUUCAGCUACUCCAUUCUGGGCUUUGAGUACAUCAGCAAUUGGAAGGUGGGCAGCUCUUCCUGGACACCCAACGGAACCUGUGUGAGAGAAUGGGCAAUACUAACAAAUAACACCAUGGAUUUAAGAUUCACAAGAGAACAAGGGAAAAUCCACAGUGGGGCUUUCUGGAGUUUGUUUCUUUUAUGCACCACUGGAACCAGAAAAUAUAUCAAUAUGGAAAUUUAGCAAUGGGCUGAGGUUUCGCGGAACUUGCAUGAGAGUGGCCCAGUGCCUAACUCUGCUGUAACCCACAAAGGUCACACACUGAAGUGCUGGUUUCAGACAGUGACUCUGGGAGUUUCAGAGAGCUGUUUAACGGAACACUCCAGGGGUUGGCUGUGGCACUGCUCAGGCUGAGCGGGAAUCUCACUUCACACCACAGAUGCAUAAAAGUCAAUUUUUUUGUUUGCGAACUGUCUGGGACAAAUGUAGAAUUUUUGUCUAUUUUUAUGAACUUUUUUCAGAGAAAGCUAUGAACUUCAUUGGCCUGUGUGGGGAGGCAUAAACUUUCUGAGAUGGCUGUUGAUGGAAGUGUUUCAAGUCUUAACUGGAUUCGCUAAGUGAGAUACGGGAAAAAUGAUCUGAAAAAAAACCCUUUUCUUGUAUGUGGUAUUGACCAUUCACCCACAUCCACAUCAAGAGUUCUCAGCGGUGAUGCACCAAGACAGUGCCUGUGCUUGGCUUUUGUGGAGCACUGUACACCACUGCAUGAAAACCUGCAUUCGAGACACCCUGAGCUCCCAGCAUGAGACUGCUGCAUCUCUAUGGCGUCAUCACAUUGAGCCUUUCUCAUAAGAAAUGAGGUGUCAGGGUGCAAAACUGAUGAUGAGGAGCCUGCAGCAGCACCGGUGCCUUUGGUAUCAGAGUGACCUUGUGCUGUGGAAGGGCAAAGAAGGCCAGUGCAUUCCCAGAGAAAAGAAUAAAUGACACUACAACAGGAUUUGGCAACAAAUAUGAAGCACUGUUUGCUUUGCUGCCAAUGGAAGUGUAGAGGAAGGCACAGUUUAUCAUAGAGAAGUGACAUUUCAUCUCAGUUCUCUGAUCCAGAUGAAAAGGUGGACUCGGUGGUUUCCAUCUCUGUGUGACACAGCUCUUGGCACAGGAGCACAGACCAUACCAUCGCUUCACAGAUUCUGCAUUCUGGGCUCUCCGGGAAGGAAGGUCUAGAAAUCUCCACCUCGCUGCAGAUGGCACGUGUGGCAGAGAUCCUGCUGUGCCCAUGCCAGGUGCCUUUGUUCCUAGGGAUUUGGUCAGUGCCAGUCUCCGAAGGUACCCAUUGGAGCAGGUUAAGUGUCUCCAUGGAGAUCUCCCCAGCUCCCUCUCACAGUCCCUCCCUUCUCUUACAGCUUUCUGUUUAUUGUAAACAGCAUCCCCGUCUUGGCUGGAGAUGGUAGCUCUCCGCUUCACCCUGCUCACCUGCCCACCCAAGUUGCCUCCUGGUCUGCUGUUGCCUGGGAAAACAGCAAUGCCAUCCUUUGAAAAUAACCUGCACAUGGCGGAGGGCUCUUUUCAUUCCUGGAUUGCUUUUUCUUUCCACAUCCCUAUUAUGGGAUGUGCCUGGAUCUCUCAUAGCAGCUGCAGCAUCACUCCACCAACAAGGGCUGGGUGUUUGUACAUGAGGCAGAGUUUGUAGGAAGGAGGCUGGGGGCUGCAACCUCCAAACCCCACUCCUUCCUCCAGCCACAAAGUCUUUCUUCCAUCCUCACAUUCUUGCUCCUAAAACACUCUCACCAUUAAGGCUAGCAUUCCAGGAAGAAGUUGGAAAAAAAAAAAUAGAGAUCUUUCAAUUUCUUUCACCUUCAAGUCAAAACUAAACUUCCCUACUUUUAUUGUUCAAGGCAGAUUUUUUUUCUGGCCUUUAACCAAGACUUCUUGCCUGGAGUGUACUCAGAUCUAUGACACACAGUCGAUGUGUUCAGUGAAAGCUGCACUUCACCAUUAACAAAUGAAGGCUUUAAAAGCAGAGUGCUUGGAUGUCAGGAACAAAAAAAGCAAGACCCAGAGUUCCACAGUGUCAUAAAUUUAUUUUUUGACAUCAGCUGUCCAAACACUUUUGUUGGUCUGAUGCAGUCCUUUUUUUUCCCCAGAGAAGUCCAAGUCCAUGGUGAUAGAGCUCCACAUAUGCUCCUAAGACAGCUCAUACAGCAUGAGGACUGCUCAGAGCACCACAGUGCCCUGCACUCAGUGAGCCUGAAUGAUGUAAUCCUUCAGGUUCUUGGUGACACCCAGGACAGGCAGAGCCUUCUCUGCACCAGUGCACUGUGACUUUUCCACUUCCUUCCCUCAGGAGAGCAGCACUCAGUGGAGGUGGAGGACAGCAGGACAGCUCGUGCUGACAAGUACAACAUAGAUGGCUGGCAAGUGACUUACUUAAGGCAGGCCCAUAGUCCAGGGCCUGACUGGGUGAGUGCCUCCUGGCCAGUGCUCAUGGAGAGCAAGUUGUUCUGCCAAAUGCACUAGCCUGGUUGGGUCAGACUCCACUGUUUCAUGAAGCAAGUCCCUCUGUUGCAUGUGGAGAAUUAUCACCUUCAGGCAGAGAGAAAAGGUUAUAAGGAUGGACAUACAAGUGAAACAUGGGCACCAAAAAUGGUGAAAACUUAUGAGAUCACCUUGUCCUUUUCUCACAUCUAGUCAAUAUAGAAUUGUUCCCUCACUGACUCCAGAACAAUGCCACUUAACCUAGAUGCAAUCAUGCUGCAGGAACUGCCAAACACAAUGCAAUAAAGACCAGAGAAUGAGCUCAUAUGAGUUAAUCCAAUUCCUGCAAUAAAACAAUCCAGGACUCUGGUCUCCAUCCUGCAACAUUCUCCUGAGCCAACCCUUUUCCAAGCCAACCCUUGAGUGUGGUAACACUCAGACACAAGCUGGAGCCACUGGUGGGCUGCUGAAAUAACCUGGAGCUGGGAAAACGCAGCAAAACAAUAUGUUCUUUCUACUAAAACUGUUGCUUUGUUUAGAUGGGAUCCAUAAACCUUGUUAUUCACAAACAUUCAGGGAGCAGAGCUUUAUUUCCAAGAAUGCUCAUGGAAAGGAAAUCCAUUGUGUAGGCCAACAUGAAUAGAGCUUUGCUGUGCAGUUUUUAUGGGCAGCAUCCAGGUGGCUAGUGAGAAAAUAGCUUCUUGUCAAGUAAAGUAAUGCAUUACAGCUACAGAUAAUUCCCAAGCAGUUGGAAGGCAUCCCCACCUGGGAGGCACACGUCACCCCAAGAGGAGUCUGAAACAAUGCCACACAGCAAACACCCAGCAGGAACAGCCAUCACCAAAUCCACCAUCAACCAAAGCAUUCACUGUUUGCAAGUCAUUGCAGAGCCACAAAAACACACCUAGACAGCAGGAAGGAUCAUCCCAUAUAUUUCUUAGAGUGGAAUCUUACAGUGCCUUGUACAUAAUAGACCUUAAAACAAAGGGUUAAAAUUAAUUGUAGGGUCCACUGAAACACUUUCCUGGAAAUGGCCUGAGCAGCAAACCUAUCUCCACCUCCUUCCUAAAAUCAUGUAGCUGAUAAAAAGCAGAAAGUCUUUUGUCACUGUUUUGUAUGCAUAAUUAGGUUUGGUUUGCAGAGCCAUGGGUUCUGAGUUAGCAAGUGCACAUGCACACACACAAACACACACAGACCUCGCUCAUUUAUGUGACUGGUACCCAGAAUCACAACUCCUCAGCCAGUGUCUGGGUGGCAAACAUGAAAAUGCAUUUUGAUAAUAUUGAUGCUGGAACGCAACAGCAUGCACAAAAAUACAUCCACCAAGUGCAACACAUUGUAAACACAAGAAUAAGAAAAAUAAACAAAUACAUGUAAUUUCAUCUGGGUCACAAGUUGACUCAAUGUGACAUUUCCUUUUGUAGUGAAGAACAUUGGAGAAAAGAGAACUUAUUUAUACAUACUGGAAAAUAUUUGGCUACGAUUUUUUCUAGCUCUCUUGGUUAUUUUUACAUUAAACCUUAGUUUUUAGAGGUUUUUUUCCCCCUUUCAAGAUCAAGAUUUUCUUUCUACUUUAUCUCACAGAAUCAUAACUCAUAGUUCUGCACCCCUAGAAAAAACUGCUGUAUGGCUGCAAGCAAUGACCUCACCAUGUGUCAUUUUGCCCCAAAAUCAAGUGAGAGAUUAGGCUGUAAGCAGUAGUGCUAACUUCAAUAUAAUCAGCUAUUUAAAGACAUAUGAAACAACGUCCAUUUCUCCCAUGUUCACUUUCUUCUCUGAGUGAUGCUUUGCAGCUGUGUCUCUCCCAGCAGCAAGGCAGCCAGGAGUCCCUGGGGAGCCCAUUUACACUGCUGUUCUUGAAGGGCUGAAGUGGGAACACGUGUCCUGUGUCCCUGGACACACACGCUCACACACACAGCUCUGUGAAGCCCCGUGGGUGGUUUGCAUGGAAGAGAAAAUGUUGGCUAAAGUUCCUCUUGCUCUGCUUGCCUAGUACAGAGGGAAUGUGGUGCUGGUCUCAGAUGGGUCCCUCCUGCUCCCUGAGCUGGCCAUGGAGCCGUGGUCAGCCCUGGAUGCACACACGGGCGUUGCUGAGCUGCAGGUUACAGAGAAGGGAGACAGCAACUCCUCAGGGCAAAAGGGCUCAACUCCGUGUGCAGGUUUCCAUCCAGAGCACUCAAAGCACUGUGCACAGGGUACAGGAAUCACAGGGAGGGACAGGGAAGGGAAGAGGUUGACCUAGUCACUGAGCAAGCCAGCUGGCUGCAUGUACAUGUUUGGAGUGCCAGGUCAGGCUAGAAGCAUCACAGCAUCCUACACAGUCACUCAUUUACCAUGAGCAGCAGAGUAUGGCAAGCACAAAUAACAUGUGAAACCCAACAGAGAAAGCCAAGCCUUGCUCUGGGCUGAAGACCCCUCUGCAGCCCUUUGGGAAGGUGCCAAGCAAAGCCAAGGCUCGCUGUGAAAUAUCAUGUAUGUCUGUGUUGAGGGAGCUGGGGAAACCCAGAAGGGAGCUUUUCAACAAGGAUAUGAGGGAAGACUGGCAAAAGCAAGCAGGUGCCCAGAGCUCCCUGUCCACACAGAGUGACACUGCAGCACGGAGCAAAUGAGAUUAUAGUCAUCAGCCCUGUGACAAGGGCAAGAGUAAUCACCUCUGCCUAACAAACACAGGACCUGAGACAGGCCAAGUGCAGCUACACCAGUGGUGGGAGCAGUAUGGCAAGCCUCUGCCUGGGUCUCUGGGGUUCACAUUAAAUGGGGCCAAGAGUGGGAAAGGCCAUCCAUCUGAGCCAGGCAGCAGCAGUCAGUAAAGAGGGAGACAGCAAGAGGAUCUGCACUUCAAGGGUCUUGGCUGUGCAUUACCAGCUCAGCUGUUGUCCACACAGCUCCCUGCAUCAGCCCUGUGCUUCCCCUUGUGCCCCUGGCAAGGGUGUCCUCGGGCU